GUGCUCACUUUGUAAAUAUGCAAAAACUGGAAUGAUACAGAAAUUAGCAUGGUCCCUGGGCAAGGGUGGCAUGCAAAAUCACUAGGUGUCCAGGUUUAUU
ensembl:snRNA U6 U6 spliceosomal RNA